rnacentral:rRNA from 1 species
UGUUACCUACGGGGCGCAGCAGUGAGGAAUAUUGGUCAAUGGGCGGGAGCCUGAACCAGCCAAGUCGCGUGAGGGACGACGGUCCUAUGGAUUGUAAACCUCUUUUGUCGGGGAGCAAGACCCGCCUCGUGCAGGCGGAGCGAGAGUACCCGAAGAAAAAGCAUCGGCUAACUCCGUGCCAGCAGCCGCGGUAAUACGGAGGAUGCGAGCGUUAUCCGGAUUUAUUGGGUUUAAAGGGUGCGCAGGCGGACCAUCAAGUCCGCGGUAAAAUCGUGGGGCCCAACCCCAU